UUCUCGUCUCUGUUCCCGACUUCCCUCCCUCCCUUCGCCCCACCCCCCUCCCCUCCCCUCCCAGAUCCGAUCCGCCCCGGCGGUCGCCGGCCGGAGCACCGCCAUGGCGCUCAGCCUCCGCAAGAAGCAGCUCGAUUUGAUCACGCGGAUGCUCCACCUGAACCAGCAGCAGCCGUCGCCGGACGGCGGCGGCGGGGAGGGGGACGAGGAGGCCUACAAGAUCCUGGUGAUGGACGGGCCCUGCAUCUCGCUCCUCUCGCCGGUGCUCCGCGUCGGCGACCUCCGCAAGCACGGCGUCACCCUCCACCUCAACAUCGACAAGGCGCGCCAGCAGGUCGCCGACGCGCCCGCGGUCUACCUCGUCCGCCCCACGCCCGCCAACGCCGACCGCAUCGCCGCCGACGCCGCCGCGGGGCUCUACGCCUCCUUCCACGUCAACUUCUCCACCUCCGUCCCGAGGCCCGUCCUCGACCGCCUCGCCGCCGCCACCGCCGCGUCCCGCUCCGCGCACCGCGUGGCCCGCGUCGCCGACCAGUACCUCGACUUCGUCUGCCUCGAGGACGGCCUCUUCUCGCUCGCCCAGCCGCGCGCCUACGUCGCCCUCAACGACCCGGCCGCCGCCGAUUCCGACAUCACCUCGCUCGUCGAGGCCGUCGCGCUCGGCCUCUUCUGCGUCGUCGCCACGCUCGGCGCCGUGCCCAUCAUCAGGUGCGCCCGCGGCGGGCCGGCCGAGAUGGUGGCCGCCGCGCUGGACGCCCGCCUUCGGGAUCACCUCCUAGCCAAGCCAAACCUGUUCACGGAGGCUGCAUCCAGUGCCGCCUCAUCGUUCCAGCGCCCGGUCCUCUGCCUGUUUGACAGGAAUUUCGAGCUGUCGGUGGGGAUACAGCACGAUUGGAGCUACCGCCCGUUGGUCCAUGACGUGCUGAGCUUCAAGCUGAACAAGCUGAAGCUGCCGACAGAGAAGUAUGAUCUGGAUGACUCGGACCCAUUUUGGGUGGCAAACAGCUGGUCGCCAUUUCCCAAGGUGGCUGAGGAGAUAGAAGCCCAGCUCGCCAAGUACAAGCAGGAUGUGGACGAGGUGAACCAGCGCACGGGUGGUGGUCGGGAUGGGGUUGAGUUUGAUGGAACAGAUCUUAUUGGCAACACCAAGCACCUCAUGAAUGCGGUGAACUCACUCCCGGAGCUGACCGAACGGAAGAAGAUGAUCGAUAAACACACGAACAUUGCAACCGCGCUGCUUGGGCACAUCAAGGAGAGGUCUCUGGAUGGAUACUAUGAGUGCGAGAAUGAUAUGCUCGUGAAUGGUACUGUGGAUCGGAACAUGCUGCUGAGUCUGCUCAGAGGGAAGGGCACCAAGGAGGAUAAGCUCCGGCUGGCCGUCACCUACCUGCUAUCCUUUGAGGCACCACCAGCAUCUGAACUUGAGCAGGUUGAGGCUGCGCUGCGGGAGUCAGAAGUAGAUAUGUCUGCAUUCCAGUAUGUGAAGAGGAUAAAGUCGUUGAACACACAGUUUGCCGCUGCAUCAAGCACGGCAAGCAGGAGCAACAUUGUUGAUUGGGCAGAGAAGCUUUACGGACAGUCCAUUAGUGCCGUGACAGCAGGCGUGAAGAAUCUCUUGUCGGAUGGGAGGCAGCUGGCUCUGACUAGGACUGUUGAAGCCCUCAUGGAAGGGAAACCAAACCCAGAGGUGGACAACUACCUAUUGUUCGAUCCACGGGCCCCUAGGUCAGGAACUGGUGGGCAGUUUAGAGGACCCUUCAGAGAAGCCAUUGUUUUCAUGAUUGGUGGUGGAAAUUACAUCGAGUAUAGGAGCUUAGUUGAGCUAGGGCAACGCUCACAGCCUUCAAAGCAUGUCAUAUAUGGAGCAACAGAGAUUCUCAAUGGGGUGGAGUUUAUUCAGCAGCUCGCAGAACUGGGACAGAAAGCGGGAUUAGGUGGUGGCAGCAGCAACCUACCACCACAGUAAAUAUGCUCUUACCAGAUGUUUUGAUGCUAUGGUGGGAUUGAAGCUUCACAGGUUGCAGUAAAUAGUCUCUUGCCGACACUUGAUGCUACUAAGGAGUGAUCCAGGCUGCAUAGACUAAUGUGUAAUGGUAUCAAAUUUCUCUGUUGUCGGGUUUAUGGCGCUGCUUUGAAUGAGUUAUCAAUACAAAGAUUUCUUGCCAGAGUUCCAACUGUUCCAGAAGCCCAAUAUGUUGAAAUGUCCAUGUAUGCUCGUUUAUUUUUGUUUCUUUUUUCCUUUUGCCCCCUUUUGAGAAAUGUUAGUGGAAUCUUGUUUGAACACCCCUACAAUCAGUUCAUGGAAUCUUAGAACACCUGUUCGGAUUUUUUUGAGAAAUUGAGUUUGUUAGCGUUUCUUAUGAAUAUCAGUCAAAUGGUUGUGCAUAGCCAUGCUGGACCUUCUGGUCUUAUGCAGCUUACAUGAAUUCCUUCUGGGACAAUAUGCACGGUUCACCACUCUGGGGAUUUCUGUGUGCCUGUGGCAAUAGUAACAUAUAGGCCUCCAAUGCUAACCAAGCAGAAGAGCAUAUUACUUGAAGAAUGUAGCAAUGAAUUAGUUGCCCUUGAAUAGAAAGGCAUUAACAGCUGUAUGUUUCAGGUGAGUUGUGAUGUGUGCAGCACAAUAUAUCUUGUUCUGUGGAGUUAAGGGAUUAGUAUGUAGUGGCACAUUUUGUGAGGAUGUCAUUCCUCAGCAUGCUAUUUGCUGCAUAUUUUUAGCUUUGUUUCCAGAACCCUAUUAAUUACGCUGAUUUUACAUAUAUUUCAGGAGAAAAUGCUAGAAAGACAAUAUUAUUUUGUGCACAACCUCUGGAAUCCAAUUCAUGGUAUGUAAAUGAGGGACUACGAGAAAUCCUCACUACGGGGAUGUCUAACUGAAGGACUAGGUAAUAUAGGGGUUGUUUCAGUUGUAAUUGUGACUGCAAAUUGUAUGGAAACACAUGAAUUAGUUAUGUUCUCCGAAUGAUAAUAUUACUGAAAGAGCAUGAUCCUUCCUAGCUGUUGGCUGAUACACCAUGCAAACUUCUUUUGGUUUUGAUCGUGGAUGGUUCUCAUGUGGUUGCUGAUACAUCAUAUGCUGAAGUGGUGGAAGUCAUGAAAAUGUGCAUGCCACUGUUACUACCGGCCUCUGGUGUCAUUCACUUUGUCAUGUCUGAGGGUCAGGCCAUGCAGGCGAGUGGCCUCAUAGCAAGGUGGGAUCUUGUUGGCCCAUCUUCUGGUAGGAGCGCUGAACCAUUUCAUGGCACUUUUCCAAAACUUGAACCUCCAACUGCUAUUUCUGGCAAAGUUCAUCAAAAGUUUGCUGCAAGUGCGAAUUCUGCGCACAUGAUCCUUGCAGGAUAUGAACGUAGUAUCAAUCACGUAAGAAAUACAAUUCUUUCACUGUAUAGUUAUUCUUCCACUUUUGUUUCCCUUUGUCUAUCUCGUUGCCACUUUCCUCGUCUACAGAGUGAAACUAACAUCUUAAUUUGUGGCAAACUGUGCUAUCUUUCUUCAAUCAAUAGGUUCCUGGCUGUGCCUUCUCUUUCAGGUUGUACAAGAUUUGCUAAACUGCCUAGACAGCCCUGAGCCCCCUCUUCUACAGUGGCAAGAACUCAUGUCCGUUUUGGCAAACCUGACUCCUGGAAGAUCUUAGGAAUGAUGUGAUUAAGUGUCCUACUUUUUUUUUUACAUGUCAUCACUCAAUUUUUCACUUUGGCUGCAUAUAUCAAAUGGGUAACUAAUCUGCCUGUACUCAG
rnacentral:rRNA from 1 species